rnacentral:tRNA from 1 species
GCGAUUGUGGCGGAAUUGGCAGACGCAAGGGACUUAAAAUCCCUCGGUUUAGAACCGUGUGAGUUCAAAUCUCACCAGUCGCACCA